AUUGAACGCUAGCGGGAUGCUUUACACAUGCAAGUCGAACGGCAGCGCGGACUUCGGUCUGGCGGCGAGUGGCGAACGGGUGAGUAAUGUAUCGGAACGUGCCCAGUAGCGGGGGAUAACUACGCGAAAGCGUAGCUAAUACCGCAUACGCCCUACGGGGGAAAGCAGGGGAUCGUAAGACCUUGCACUAUUGGAGCGGCCGAUAUCGGAUUAGCUAGUUGGUGAGGUAACGGCUCACCAAGGCGACGAUCCGUAGCUGGUUUGAGAGGACGACCAGCCACACGGGACUGAGACACGGCCCAGACUCCUACGGGAGGCAGCAGUGGGGAAUUUUGGACAAUGGGGGCAACCCUGAUCCAGCCAUCCCGCGUGUGCGAUGAAGGCCUUCGGGUUGUAAAGCACUUUUGGCAGGAAAGAAACGUCGCGGGCUAAUACCCCGUGGAACUGACGGUACCUGCAGAAUAAGCACCGGCUAACUACGUG
rnacentral:rRNA from 1 species